GAUGAACGCUGGCGGCGUGCCUAAUACAUGCAAGUCGAGCGAACGGACGAGAAGCUUGCUUCUCUGAUGUUAGCGGCGGACGGGUGAGUAACACGUGGAUAACCUACCUAUAAGACUGGGAUAACUUCGGGAAACCGGAGCUAAUACCGGAUAAUAUUUUGAACCGCAUGGUUCAAAAGUGAAAGACGGUCCUGCUGUCACUUAUAGAUGGAUCCGCGCUGCAUUAGCUAGUUGGUAAGGUAACGGCUUACCAAGGCAACGAUGCAUAGCCGACCUGAGAGGGUGAUAGGACACACGGGAACUGAGAAACGGUCCAGACUCCUACGGGAAGCAGCAGUAGGGAAUCUUACGCAAUGGGCGAAAGCCUGACGGAGCAAAGCGGCGUGAGUGAUGAAGGUCUUCGGAUCGUAAAACUCUGUUAUUAGGGAAGAACAUAUGUGUAAGUAACUGUGAACAUCUUGACGGUACCUAAUCAGAAAGCCACGGCUAACUACGUG
rnacentral:rRNA from 1 species